AGUGUUCUUUUUUGAUAUAAGGGAUUUUUUUGUUUUUAUAUAGUUCGUCUAUCAUUUAUGUUUUUGGCCUUGGGGUUAUCCCCGGAAAGCCCUGGCUCAUCCGUGGGCCUUUUACAAGCGCAGCAUCUCCUACAGCUUCACCUACUAUUCCUAUCGAGUGUUUCAUCAACUCCAAGUUUUUCACAUUUUUAAUCUCUGAAACUGGGAUGGUGCUCAGGUAGUAGUCACUGCCUGCUGCAAAUCAGGAUGUGCAGAAAACAUCAGUGAUUUGUCAACAAAGGUCCCAGAGACGACAGUGGGGUAUUCUGCAAGAAAUGCUGCAACGUCACCUGUUUCUUUUUCCUGCUGGGUACGGAAGGAGAUGCAGAAGACGUGUUUGGAGCCAUCUGUGCCUCUGAAACAGACCCCCAUACAAAAGUGCUAUCUUGGCCCUACGAGACAGCUCAUGUGGGGCUGGGAGGCACCUGGGAAGUGAGGCCCACAAACAUGUCAGAGAUCUCGGCCUCAGGCUUCUCAGUUCGGCUUGGCUGAGGGUACACUGUGUGCCAGAGAAGCAUACGGGCCGCUGCCACCAUUAAGUAGAGAAAAGAAUGCGGAACAGCAGGGCAUGGUGGCUCACACCUGUUAUCCCAGCACCAUGGGAGGCCCAGGGGCAGCCCUGGCCGUGCGUGCUCACACACGGCAAUGCACGGGAGAUCUGCAGCCCGGACAGGAGCCGGAGCACCUGGGAAGGACAUGAGGCAAAUGCUCAAGAACUUGAGAACAGCAGGCCCCAGUGGUGGGAGGGGCACCCUUUGAGCACUGUUACAUGGGAAGGCCAUGGCACGGUGCCAGGCUCAUGGCAGGGACUUUAUUCUCUUCCAAACUCCAACCAUGAAUCCACCCAGGUGUAAACCUUCUACAGUAAGCCAAUUGUGCCUACUGAAGCUCUGUAGACAAGUGCUGCUCAAAAUGUCACCUGCAGACCUGUGCUGCUCUGCAAACGCUUGGUUAGAUGUCCAAGAAGGGGAAUAAGAAGCUCGCACUGGAAUGUACGUUACUGUCACUCAGCGGGCUAUUUAGUCCCGCUGACUUUUUCCACAGCAAGACUUUCUCAAUAAAGGAAGCAGGGCACUGAUUUACUCUCUGGGGCAAAAGCUGCUUAACUCAUGGUAACAAAGUUUGUGGCCCAGCUACUUUCAGGCUGCUUCUGGGGACACUAACCUGAGGUGUCCAGGCAUCUCUGAGUGGUACCCAGGGAAAAUUAUGAAGGCAUUAGGCAAAAGCUAGUAGUUUAAAAAAUCAUAAACGCUAUAAUAAUAAAAAACGAGAGGUUACCUCAAUAUAAAAAGAGAUAACUGGUUAAAUAAGUUAUAUAUGUCCUCUUAAUGUAGUUGACAGCACUUAUAAAAUAAGAGGUUGAGGACUUUAUAACGGGACGAAGAAAGGCUUAGGAUAUGACAGGAAGUUACAACAGAAGUAUGAUAUAAAAUGGUGUGAGCAGCCCCCACGAACACGUAGAGAAGAUAUAUGUGCUCACACUCACCUACUCGGAAGGAAAUGCACAAAAAUACAAAUAGGGGAUUUGUUAGGGUGACGUAACGAUUAAGUUUUUCUUUUCUUUUUUUAAAAUUUGAGACAGUGUCUCACUCUGUCGCCCAGGCUGGGGUGCAAUGGCGCCAUCUCAGCUCACUGCAACCUCUGCCUCCCAGGUUCAAGCGAUUCUCCUGCCUCAGCCACCUGAGUGGCUGAGACUACAGGCGCCCGCCACCACGCCCAGCUAAUUUUUUUCAUAUUUUUAGGAGAAAUGGGGUUUCACCAUGUUGGCCAGGCUGGUCUUGAAUUCUUGACCUUAGGUCAUCCACCUGCCUCGGCCUCCCAAAGUGCUGGGAUUAUGGCCAUGAGCCACCUUGCCCAGCCUAUUUUUCAUACUUUUGGGAUACAGUUCUGUUACUUUAUAAUGAAAACAAUUGUACGCCUAGUAAUAAAAUAUUUCCACCAUC